AAAUGAAAAGGAACUGUGUGCAUUAAAAAAGAACACAUAGUAUUUUAAAAGGAAAAUUUCAAAAUGAAACAUUGGAAGUUAAAUGUGAGAGUCAAAAUUCAAAACAAAUUAGCGAGUUGGCUGAGAGGUGAAGUGGGGAAAUCUUUUCUUAAAAAGAAAAAGGCAAAGAAGCAGGUGAGGAGGUAGACAGAUGAGGCCUGAUGAGUUCCAGGAAAAACCAGAACAUGGUGGGAAUGGGAUGGCCAGAGACGGCAUCAUAUUCUCCCCAGGCCUGACAGUCCCACAUCGCAGCAGCAGAAGCACCUGCCAGCUCCCCCUGCCGCCCAGUGACAGUACUCAGGGCAUCCCUGGCCGUGUGUGCAGACCCCACGGGGUGACGAGGCCUGGGGAAAACCUCUUCGCACCGUGUCACAGACAGAAGACAGUGCAAUGAGGCUCUAACAAUUACACGAGAAAAUAAUUUGCAGCCUAGAAGUUGACCCGUGUUCAGAUCACCAGUCAAGUAUUUUCAGAGAUGCAGAUUCACCAAAAAUGCUUCAUGACGUCUUGUGGAAGCGUGCUCCGGGAGACACUAAGAGGAGAUCUCCGAAACAAGGGAGAGACUGAGAAAGAGGAAGGGGAAGGCUCCAGCAGACUCUCUCGGGGGAAGAGCAGAGGUCUGUGGCCAGCUUUGGUUUCCCCCAGCGCACCCUGCGGGCACAAUGAUUCACUGUCCUUGCCCAUGCAGAAUACACUGGCUCCCUUCACGGCCCCCACAGGUCUCCACCUUUCAUGGCACGCUCAGAGGCCGAUGGGCAUCUCGGGAUCUUCAUCAGGUCCGGAACGAGAGGAGAUGCGUCUUGAGCCAGAGACCUAUCAACAAAAAAGAAGUACCUGACCGCUGGCAAGAGAAUUUAAGCCCCCUCCCACCCCAUGAACGCCUCGAGCUACAGAACCUGGAGGGAAAGCCUGGCCAGGGGCACUCGGCAGCCUCACCCCGGGACACAGGCUCAGGGCCGUGCCGUCCUGUCUGUUCAGCAGAAGGAGCGUGAGCACAAGCAGCAGGGGAAGCAGCUCCCUGCCGAGCCAGCUGGGAGCCUGACGCAGGGCUCCAUCCCGGGACCUGGAGAUCACGACCUGCGCUGAAGGCAGACGCCCCGCCAUGUGAGCGGCCCAGACGCCCCAUCUGUUCCCCUUUUAAAGGAAAAUCAAAUGUGUUGGACAGGCCGAGGCUGUGGGGCAGACCCCCGCUGCGCACGUGGACUCCGGCCCCAGGCCUCCUCCGGGAACUCUGCUCCGGACACGCAUGUACGUGGACAUGAUGCCGCAGCUGCCAGAGCAGCCCCCAGAGGCUGGGGAAGUGGGCGUCCCUCCCGAGACGGCCAGGAGGCUCCCCGGCCAGGGCCACAGGAGGACGGGAGACGCUGGGCCGCUGCUUCUGUGGAGCAACGGGCGGGUGGGGCCACACACCAGAAGCUUCCCAGCAGCUGCCUCUGGGGAUGGGGAGGUCGGGGCGGGGUGCAGCCUGUCCCCAAUGGCACGGGGACAUUCUUUGAUCUGACCACUUACCAUUCCCCACGCGCACGCCCCACUACUAAAACCUCCCUCUCUCCCUCUGGCUCCCGCCCCCCGACCCCCACUUGCUCACGAGCACACUCUCUAAAGGAUUACUAAAUAAAUCUUU